rnacentral:misc_RNA from 1 species
AACGCAUAUGGCACCCGAGACUUCGGUCGAGGGUAUGUCUGUCUCAGAGUCGGCGUAAAAACAUCCCCAAGGAGAGAGAGGUGCGUCCUCGCUCCGACGGGGGAGCUGGCCCCCCCGGGACGUCCCCAGCGGGAUCGGACCGGGUCGGCUGAAGGAAAGAGACGGAGGACCGCACGCGCCGGGCAGCCACGAUUUUGGUGGGAGGACCUCGCGUCCGCAUCAUGGAUCGUGCUCCCUAAGAAGCGUGCGGGCCCCGCCCUCGCAGGAACCUGAACGACAUCAGUUCCGACCUGAGAUCAGGCAAGAUCACCCGCUGAACUUAA